CAGACGUGAGCUGUGCAUGAUAUGAGCGUCCAGCAUCUCCAGAAGCAGGUCAUACAGAGGAACCAUCUUCUUCAUCUUCAUGCAGUGGAGGUGGUCCAUGCCUUUGUUACUACAGAUGAGUAGUGGAUAUAUGUUUAACAGAACAUGUAAGUCAGUGGGACCAGCUCUGUUCAGUUAAGGAUACUCAUUAUCUCUUUUCCACAAAAUGCUGUCUCCAUCAUCCGCUUAAAAUACACACAUAAUGAUUGACCUAAAUACAUCAUAGAGGAUUGUGAAGAUAUUUCACUGGACCUUGGUCUUCAUUACAUCUAUAUUACAUUCAACUACUAACCCAUGUAUUCAAGAACUGAAAAAAAAUAUUCCAUGUUCAAACUGCUAAAUACAGAUCAAAGCGUGAUCAAAAUGAAGGUUAAUGUGCUUGACAAAUGACAUGCAAUUCAUUGGACAACUAAAAACUGUUUCAAAAUUCAUGUUUGGACAAGGUAUGAUGUAAUAAUUUAUCUUAAAUACAGAAGAUAAAUGACAAAUUCUUAUCAAGUAAUAUUAACUGCAUCCCUUACUGUACUCAUAAAUUGAAAACUGCUAUUCUAAAAACCCAUUAGAAAUUCCAGAGGGAAUCCAUGGUGAUUCAGCCUUCUGGGUUUGGUCUACAAAUUGAUGCAUGCUAUUACCAAAUACCUCAAUUCCAUGUAGAUUUGCAGUUAGUCUUAUUAUUGGAAAAGUUCUAUAAACCAGCAGAAAUAAGGUAACACACUGAGCUAAUGUUAUAAUUGAAUCAGUUUUUCUUAUAAAUCUGGUUCUA